ensembl:snoRNA
UGAUGCGAAACCUCCGGAAUCGCUGCAGCGCCGUGAUGAGAGCUUGAACCCUGCCUGGCUGAUGACUGCCGGAGCCGC